GUUCAGGUUCAAGUUAGCCCCCGUUUUGUUGCCAGGUUUAUACCGAACAACGUGCGGGGGUUUUCU
rnacentral:antisense_RNA from 3 species